AGCGCUCCAGGAACAGCUUGGAGAGCCCUGGGCUAUAGUAACAGAGUAAGCUGGCAGAAACUCGGAGGAAAAAAACGUGUCGGUACAUAAAUUGCAACAUGGAUAUAGAUAUUAUUCAUGACACCAGCUGGAAGGCAGUUUUUUUUUCUCAGUGCGCCAUUGAUGUGAAUGCAGCAAUAUAAUGAAGAACAGCCUCAACUCGUCAGGGCACGGACUUUACAAGGUGUCGAAAGCAUUCCACAGGGAUCCUGGCCCAUGUUGACUCCAAUGCUUCCACACUUGUGUCAAGUUGGCUGGAUGUCCUUUGGAGUUUUGCUAAUGGGGAUUUCCCUUGCGCCUGAUCAAGCACCUUUUCAACAAUUUUGGUGAAGCCCUCAUUGAAGCGACAGCAUAUGUUGCCUACUGGAGAGUAGAUGCAAUCCACCUCAUACAACUGUAGAAAGGGCCAGAGAAGGAGAGAGACAGACAUAUUCCGUAAUACAUCUUUAGACGUCAUGUUGAUUCUUUAAUGCCUGAAAUUAAUAAAAUGUUUUAAGCUGCCUUCUUGAGUUGUCGAAGUAUU
rnacentral:lncRNA from 1 species